rnacentral:pre_miRNA from 1 species
CAAAUACUCCCUCCGUCCGGAAAUACUUGUCAUCAAAAUGGAUCAAAGGAAAUGUAUCUAGAUGUAUUUUAGUUUUGGAUACAUCUCUUUUUAUCCAUUUUGAUGACAAGUAUUUUCGGACGGAGGGAGUAGAAA